UGCCAAAAAAACCAAACAGUUUUUUCCAGUUGGGCAGAAGAGAACAAAAGCCUGAGAACACGACACUGAUUGCACUUUGCAAUUAGAGAGAAGAAGCUCAAGUCCAAACUACAACAGAUGGAAAGUGCCGAUGAAAGUAAUUGUCGCUCGGCGUGUUUUUGGUUAGAUGUGGUGAGCGCCUCGUGCCAUCCGGUCUCCCGGGGUAAACACUCGUCGUUGGGACGGGACCAAGGCUGCAUUACCAGCUAGACACCAAGAGGCCCGGGAUUCACUGCACAUCAAGUGGAAGAUCAGUCUAUGUGCAGCUACACUCAACUUGACUUUCGACUCGACUUGAUCUUCGGCUACAAAGAAAAAGGUAAUUUGCAGGAGGAAGACUCAAAAUGAGGCGCCAUGCUGAAGCUGAGGACACCGCAGACGAGCAGACAGCAGAGUCUGCAGCCUCCAGCUGCUCCAGGAUCUCACAGCAGUUCAGCUUUGACCACCUGUCCGCACCUGAUGACAAACACAUCAGCAGGAAGGAGUUUCCGACAGCCUUGUACCUGAUGAUCAAUCAGAAUCCAACACAAGAGCUGAUCGAUUUCAACUUUGGCUUGGAAACUUCAGUCGCAAAACUUGUGUGUGUGAGGACGAGCAGUAAGGGAUGUCCUCCGUCUGUCUAGAUUCCGGUAAAGACAAAGGGUUAAGAGGAAGGUCAAGAGGAAUGAAUCCCAGAGGAGAAGCCGCUCGAUGGGAGUUGUCACAUUCAAAGUGAGCUUCAUUAUUCCAGUGGCAAGAUGACAAACCUCGGUACUCUUGUCUACUGAAGCACACAUACAGUUCAUAUGUGUCGUCCAGGCUGCCCACAUGCAUCUCCUGUGUGCUUUGCUGUUCUGAUGCACAUCUUCUAAUAUACUGUAAUCGUAAAUUUCCUGCAUGUACUCCAGUCUAGGUGAUUUGGUGCUGAUUUUCUGUGCUACUGCAGGAUUUUAUUGUUUAUCUGUUAUUCUUUGAGACAUUACAAAUCGACCACUUGGAUUUUGUUGCUCUUUUUGGAUUCUCUAUCACGUUGGUAACACACAUUAGUAAGAUGUGUUAGAAAUCAGCCAUAAAAUCACAACUACCGUGAGCUAUGCCGUUAUAUUUCAGAGAUCAAACUAUAUUUUUGUAUUGACUGACCAUUCAGGUUUGGGCUGUAUUUCCCAGUCUCAGUCGCCUCACUUCUCUGGAAUGAAAACCCAGAUAUUCCUUUUUAAUCUUGUCCAAUUACAGAAGAGAUAGUAUUUAAUACAUACUGUUUGAUACAGUUUUGAAAUCCAGAAGAGGGAACGAUUUACACCACCGUGUCUUUAUGUUUUGUUCUCAUGUUGCUUUUGUCCAGUUCUUCAUUUUUUUUUUUAUCACUGACGUGUCUGCACACUGUUCUGUACAUAUCUUUUGUGUUUUUGAGUUGAUCAGUCAUCUGACCCCACUGACAGUUCUCUGGUCAUGUUUUAGAAAAAUUUGUGAAUAUUUAAGAGUCAGCUUUAAAGGCUAAAUGUGAGACCAGGGCAUUAAGGAAGAGUUCCAGUAUUGAUUUCUCAUCAUGAAAAGAAUAUAUUUAAAAAAUAUUCACCAGAAUCCUUCUGAAAGUUAAAAGCUGCCCUGUCCGUUAAAAUGUGCAAUGCAUAUUACCAUGUGACUGUAUUUACACAGAUUUUUUAUAUGAAUUAUAUGAAUGUUUAUUGGCGGUAGUCCCGGUGGGAUUGGAUGUGUAACGGUACAUUACGACCUUAUUCUGCUAUUAAGUGUGUGUCUUUUAGGAAGCCUUUUUCACAAAGCUAUUUUAAUCAAUAAAGUUUUUAAAAUCUGAUUUUCAGAUCAAAUCAGAUCAGUCACUUUUCUGUUAACUUGUUUCUGGUCUCUUCAAGCUGUUCACAUGUAAUGCAAGAAUUUGGGGGAACUUGAUACAUUUAGAUACUUGUACAUUUAUUCAUGUUAGAUUUAUUCAUAUUAAAGGUAAUGUUAGUUUCUAAGGAUCAAAGUGUUCUUUAGUUUCACCAGGCUAUGAACUGAAAAGUACCAACUCAGAAAACUGCAAAAAGUGUUAGUUACAUGACGCCUUACAUUGUGUGCUGCUCCACACCACUAAUUAUACUGCAUGUAACUGAAAAAAGUUACCCAUAUGUUUUAAAAAUGUAGCUUUAGCUUUAUGUUGAAUCUCUGCCUGUGUAACACAAAGGCUGCUGUAGAAUACAAAGUGUGUGGUGCAAAUGUAGAUUGAC